UAAAACAACAGUAAUUGGGUAACAGCAUGAUCACAUUAUACCCUGAUCUCAUAAGCUAAGCAAGGGUAAGCCUGGUCAGUACUGGGAUAUGAGAACACAGAGGAAUACCAGAUUGUUGUUGAAA
rnacentral:rRNA from 1 species